CUUCCUUUAAAAUCAACCACUUGUGUCUCAUGGUCAUGACUGGAUAAUGAUUCUAGAAGUCCAGAGGGUCCUAGAAGGUGUUCUAAGACCACACUAAUCAUCCUCACUCCCUGACCUGCAGGAAAGGUUAGCAUCUAGAAGGGCUUGGCAGCUGAUGAAGUGUGGAAAAGUAAGAAGGCCACAUGAAAACGAAAAACAAGAAAAAACUAAUAAAAGUAAAAAACAGAGCAGAUGCUAAUUGCUGGAUGUCAGUGGCAACAAGAGAAAAAGAAGACAUGUGGAUUCAAUGUUCUCUCCAGAGCCAGCAUCUCAGAAAAACAUGCUCUGGAAGAUUAGACCAAUUAUGCCUGACUGUAAACCACUGCCUCACCCACCCAGGCACAUUCCUCUGUCUAGAGAAACAGGAGGGUGGGGAAGAAAAAGACCAAACUUCGAGAGAACAAUCAGAAAAUUGCCAGUAAAAGAGGUUUAUCGUCUGUUUUACAAUGGCUACAUAAUUAGAGUGAUCUCACUUUAUGCAAUUGAUCCAUCUCUGAAACUAUUAUGUAACCAAUGCUUACAAAAACUCAAGGCUGAAUUCAGUAGAACAGAGCUGACACUUCCGUUGAGGAUCUACAGUGGUGUACAUGCACAAACACAAUAUCCCACUUAUUGUCUCUCUCUGGUUAAUAUUGUAAAAUUGAUUGACAAAGGAGGAGACUUUUGAAGUACUUGUCCUUUUAAAACACAGAUAAGUAAAACACAUUUAAAGGGA
rnacentral:sRNA from 1 species